CUAACAACCCAUAUUAAUUCCUCCAACCGUACAAAAGCUAAUUCUUUCCAGACCCUAAACUUAUCUCUAACCCAACCAGCUGCACACUCCAUUCCCCACCUUGUUUCCGUCCUAAACUCGCUAGAAAACUCAUCAAAAUCGGCGAGUUCACUCAUCGAGCCACCAAAUGGCCCCCUCUCACUUUCCACGUCACCCGAUCCCUAACGAACCACUGACAAGAGAAUAUUUUCUCGCUCCCUCACGCAUUUUUUUUUAAUUUUUUAUCUCUUGGACGAAUUUGGGUAAAUGUUAGCCAUAGGAUCUGAGGAGUUUAACAUCCUAGCUUCCAUUUGUCCGAUUUUAUUCAAAAAGAGGGGAAAAAUUAAUUUUUGGAUAGAGGUUCUAGAGAUUUCUUGACUUGAUGAAGAUGGUUCGAGGUGAGUAUAUAUAGGUUUACACACGUUUUAGGGGAUUUUUCGGACAAAAAAUUGAAAAAAAAGUUCUAGGGUUUAAGAGAAAGCUUCUUCUCUUCUAGGCGAUUUGUCUUGAGAUUUGUCUAAGCCUUCUUUCGAAAAAAAUAUUUAUAUUUUUGAGUGUAAUUGGCGUUCGAGUAUCAGUAAAGGAAGUUCAAAGGGAAAUUAUCAAAAGUAUUUAGUUUUCCUUCUCUGUUUUCUUUUUUUCCUAUUCCAAGGAAGAAAAAUCAGAAUUAAAAAUGGAGCUAAGCUGAGGUUUGAAGCUGAGUCGAGGCGUCGUUCGAAUUCGAGCUCGUAGUUCUAGGUUCGUUUGUCCUUGUUCCGUUCGUUUCUGGUUGAAUUCGUUGUUCAAUCUUCUGCUUGUAUCUUCUUCCUCCGGACAGAAAUAUAUUGGAAAAUUUCACUUCAGGUAUAUGUCCACGUGGUUGGAGUGACAAUUAAAGAAAAAUAGGUACUGCUGCUGAUCUAGGGCUUUGUUGAAGAUACUAGUAGAGAAAUAGUACUUUGGACUAGAAGACUUUGCAAUUCUAAGGGAUUUUGGUGAUGAGGAAGAAGAUAAUUGGUUUGAUGAAAAGCUUCAUAGCAAUAUUGAGCUACAUAUAAGUCUUAUUGCACAAAAAAUAUAUUUUUGAUAGAAAAAAGAUGUUGGUUUUGUAAUAUCAGAUUUACUUAUGACAUUGAUUAUGUAGAUAAUAUCAAUUUACUCCUUAUUUUAUAUGAGGAAUGAUGAGUUUUAUACA